UUAUCCAAUCUGUCUUAUUGGUUAGAUACUAAGUUUUUACAUACUUACUAUGAGUAAGCAAAGAAAUGUGUCAAAUUACUUUUAACGAGGCUUAUACUCCGUUCAUUAGUGGUACGUCCUACGCAGUUUGCUAUAACAAUAUGUGACAUCUUUUUAUGAAAAGUAUGAAAAUAUUUAAUGUGAGUCAGUUACCUUUUAUCAAAGCUAUUUGAAAAAGCGAAUAUUUGUUUUCUAUCAUUUACAUGGGUAACAAAUUUCAAUAUGUUUGUGAAUCAAUAACUAAUUUUGUAAUUUAGAAUCAUACAUUAAUUAAAAAAAUUAUUUUCGAUAUGAUCAAUGUCUCUUUCAAGAAGAUAAUUCCAGCGAUUUGACAAUCCAUAAAUCCCCAGAAGUACUUAGUUUGGUAUGAUUGACUUAUUUAGCUAACUACAUAAUAAUCACGGACUUUUUUUUCUGUUUCUUUUUGGAUAAAAUAUUUCGUAAUACUAUAAAGGAACGACCUACUAUAUAAUUCUUUACACAAUGAAAUUUUUUCGGGUAUCCUGUAAAAGUUUGUCCGUGCAUCAUACUUUCUCUUUUUAUAUCGAAAUCGGAGACAGCGACAGAUGAUAGUUGAAAUUCAAUUCUUGCAACCUUUUAAUAAUAAGAAAAUCACUUUGGUACGUCAAUUGUAGGGGCCCUUGCAUCCUUUAAACAACUUCUCCUGAGUAUUCUACUAAUCGUCAAUAAAGUAACUUUCCCUUACUGAUCUCUCAGGCGCACCAUGCUGAAGAAAACGUUCCGUUUUUCAUGGGUAUCUAACAAUGGAGGUACAGAUGUGUGGAAUUAUGAUUUCGAGAAUAAAAUUAUGUCUUGCUGUUUUAGAGGUUUCUUGUUCUCAUCUAUUUAUUUAUGGCUAAUAAUCUUCCUCUCCAAAACCUCCUAUCCGACAACAGCUUAAGUCUUCAAGAAACACAAGAUUCAAGGAGAUGAAGGAUAAUUAAACGGCACAUCAUUCAAUUUGUAUUUAGAAAAGUUAUUUUUGUCGUGUAGCAUCCCUUUAAAUGUCCUGAAUCAUCUCAAUUUAUCCAAGUUCAUUGAAAAAUGUACCGUAAAAACUACACCAGAUCGAUGGGCCGUUAACAACUUGGUCAGAGAAGUAUGUGAAGGAGUUUUGAAUAGAAUAAAAGAAGAGGGGAUAGAAAGGACUAUUUUCGUUGCAAUAGAUAAGACAAAAGAUCAUCAAGGGAGGUCAAUAACGGCAAUUUUGAUUGGCCAUUUUGACAGACAUUUAUAUUGUAGACCUUACCUUAUUCACUUGUUUCAUACUGAGAUUGCCAACGUAAACAAUGUAAAGAACAUCGUCAUAAGCUCAGUUUAUAAGUUAUUGGGAGAAGAUUUUGUCCGGUGUAGACUUACAGUUUUCCUCGCUGAUCCCGCCUCGUAUUGUCUCAAAGCAGGAGAAGAUCUUCGAACAAAUUUCCCGGAAUUGAUUCAUAUUCAUGAUUUGAAGGAAACCCCGAUCAAUACCAGAUCAAAAAAAAGUUCUUCAAAAGAACCCUGGCUACACAAAACUAAAGGAACUCUCAAGAAGUGAAACCCUUGUAUACAAAAAUACUCCAAUUGUCAAGCUGAGAGAGUCUUUAUUAUUGUUUAUGUCAACCCAUGUAUUUUCUGAAAAGACGUACACUUUCUAUGUGUAUAGUGCUCAAGACUAAGGCCAAAUGAGAUAAAUCCAAGAAAAAAAAUGUACCUUCGUAACCUAUUUCAUCUCGUUGAUAGUAAAAGUAGAUACGAUAGAGAAAUAAGAGGCUACCCACCAUCUUCGGAAAAUAAAUAUUAUUUUCUUACUAUAUUAAAUAUAUAAACAGCACACGAUUACGGAUUAAUGUUUUAUCAUAAUUCUUUUUUUCUUCUUCUCCUAGCUAUAUAGUUAAUCUCAUCGAGAUACAACAGCAAAGUUCGACCCGAUAAUAAAAAAAUAUAAAAAGGAGGCGAAGAUGUCAGGCGACAAAAUCUCCCCGAGAAAAAAUAACUAGCGGUAAAAAUUUAUGCGUAAAAAAUUUUUUUGACAUCAUUUGGUAAUACUUAUCAUCAUGCUUAAUAUCAAGAAACUUUAACGAUAUUAUCAACUCUCUUUUAGAAGGAACAAGAAUAGAGAUAGGGUGGUCAAUGUAUCUUUUGGCGAAAAAGAUAACUUCUAUACAUGGUAAGCAAAGGAGGAGUGUUUGAAUUCGGUCCAUCUUCCAAAAUCGCAGAACUCUAACUCCCCUAAUAUGAACGCCAUGGAUUACUUCUUUAAGGGGGAGUUAGAGAGGAAGGUUCUGUCAAUUCACUCGAGAACAUCCAAUCCUUCAAGGCCUCCAUCAUCAAGUACUAGGACAAAGUCUUCUUCACAGACUUUUCUUGGUACCUUCAUUGAUCAGGAUGCAGCUAAAGAUGAUCCAGAUUUACAUGAACGACCCUGUAUAUGUGUAUAUCUUAAAUUGAAAAAGCAAAAGAGGAACUUAAAGACGAAUAAAUUAUCAAAUUUACUAAACCUUUAUUUAAAAUUGCAAAAUUCACGAAUAAUACAUUUGUACCCCUGUCAAAACCAUAAGGGAUUUACUCUUAAUCCCAUUUUGAAUAGUUUGGAGCUCUACGGAGAGACUUUUUUAGGAGGAGGGCAUUAUUCAGUCGUUUUGUACGUUGAAUUUUUGAUCCAGGUCCCAUUUCUUCUCGUCCAAAAUUAUAACAGACCCUUUCCACGUCCAAAGUUAUAAUAAAUUUUGACAUUUUUCAAUACACUUCAUCAUUAAUAUUCUGACCGUAACGAAACUUGAGAUUCUAGAUCCUUAUGGAUGAUUCGAUUCAUCAAAGUUCUUGACAUAUUGAUCUGCUUUGCAAUUUUAGCCAUUGAUCUGUAGGGGUUCCUAAAUUUUUGCUUUAAGUUUCUAGACUAUGUCAGUAUUGCUAGCUGACCUCGUGUGUCCACUUCUUGGUUUGUCAUCAAUAUUUAGAGUUUCUGGAAUCAUCUUGAUGUAACAUUUUAAAAAACUGAGACUGAAGGUAUCAAUAUUCCAAAUAUUUGGUAGGCUAAUUUACCAGCACGAUAGAUACUUUGUACUGUUUUUCUUAGAUGAUGCAUCUCGAAUAAUAAAAAUAACUUCAAUUGCAUUUGUAUAAUAGCAGAAGAGAAGAAUUACAGUAUAUUUUAAAGUUAAAAUGGAUUCAAACGUGAUUUUUCGGAAUCCAAUCUUUAACCUCGGGGAUAAAUGGUUUAAAUACAUAUUAGCGACAUCUUCCAUUUUACAAACAAGUCUCAACUUGAAGCAGAGGAUAGAAUUUUUAUAAUACGAAGUUUGAAACUUCUUUUUAUAUAUUUUAUAGCUGUCCUAAGAUAUUACUACUGAUAAGAAUGGUGGAUAGUCUUGCUCAGAAGCCUAUAAGGUUAAUCUUGAGCCUUCAGAUUAGCAAGUAUCAACUUGCCUCUGUUCCUAGAUGCUUUUAAAAUCGAAUAUGUUAUUAGAGGGAUCCAAAGAGUUAUUUACGGAAUAAAAAUUAAAACAAACUUAUUCUGGAUCGGGUCAAUAUUCUAGAUUUUGAGAAGAAUAGUCAUUCCACGGCUUCUCAACAGAUGAAAGGACGUUUUAACAAAGGACUUACUAGACUUCCUGAUCUAGAAGGAGAUGAAAAACGUGACCUUAGUCCCCUUUUUAUCUACAACUUUAAUGAAUGAAUGUCGUGUUCUCUCCUUUGUUAUUAUAUUUUAUACCUAGCUAAAUUUAUGUGUAUUC
rnacentral:lncRNA from 1 species